rnacentral:rRNA from 1 species
UUUGCCUACGGGACGCAGCAGUGGGGGAUAUUGCACAAUGGGGGGAACCCUGAUGCAGCGACGCCGCGUGGGUGAAGAAGCGCCUCGGCGCGUAAAGCCCUGUCAGCAGGGAAGAAAAUGACGGUACCUGAAGAAGAAGCCCCGGCUAACUACGUGCCAGCAGCCGCGGUAAUACGUAGGGUGCAAGCGUUAUCCGGAUUUACUGGGUGUAAAGGGGGCGCAGACGGCGAUGCAAGCCAGGAGUGAAAGCCCGGGGCCCAACCCCGGGCCUGCUCUUGGGACUGCGUGGCUGGAGUGCA